AGCCCGGUGGUGUAGCGGCCAAGCAUGGCGGGCUCUGGCCCCGCAGAGCCUUCAGGCGCGGAGAUCCGGGGUUCGAAUCCCCGCCGGGCUACCA
rnacentral:tRNA from 1 species